rnacentral:misc_RNA from 1 species
GGACAAUGGGUAAAAUCUACUUCCAAAUUAAGUACUGGAGGAGAUGGCAUUGUAGGAUCAGAUGGAGUGGAAGUAGGUAAGACAGCUACAAUCUGAAUAUUUGUUAGAGGUGGAGUAGAAGAUGAAAUUUGAUUUAAAUUUGAAAUGGAGGAAUGUGAUGGCAUACCUAAUUUUUCUCUAGGAACCAUGGGAUUGGUGUACCAUCCACUUAAAGUUAGCCAUGGCUGUUGUGGCGCACCCCAUUGCACAAUAGAUUUAGAAUCUGUUUUGAGCCAAAAAAGAUUAGCAUGAAACCGAACAUGGUGAGCUAGAUAAACUCUGCCAGUAUGAAUAUCCAAGCAUCGAUAAGCUGAGUGGGAUGGACUCUUAUCAAGGUAAACACAUGGCUGGGUUCGGAAUUGAAACUUAUGUUUAUUGUAUGGCCGAAGUAGAGGAUAGAUAGUAUAGCCAAAUGGUUUGAGGGUAAAAUAGGAUGGAUUAGACGUUUGUAGUAACUGAUAUGGGGAUUUGUUUUUUAGGACAAAAGAUGGUGACAUAUUGAUUAAUUGAGCACUUGUCUCAAAAGCAAAUUGCCAAUAUUUGAAAGGAAUAGCUGAAUGUGCAAGUAAGGUUAAGCUGGUGUCUACAAGAUGUUUGAUCUUCUUCUUACUGUAUCAUUUUGUUCAUGUGUAUAUGGACAUAUAAUUCGAUGUUGAAUGCCAUAAUUAGCAAAAUAUUUGUUCAAUUUUUGGUACUCUCCACGCCAAUCUGAUUGAACAGAUUUUAUUUUAGUGUGAAAUUGGUAUUCAACAAAAUUUUGAAACUAAAUAAACAAAUCAAAAACUUCACUUUUA